AAAUGCGGUCGCGCAGUUUUUGUCGUCGAGUCAAAGUGCGCGGAUCACUCCUCGAGUGAGCUAACAAUUCCUGCCGAAUUGAAUUAAAUAUUUGUUAAGUGCAAGUUUAGGUGUUAGUUGUUGUUGUUGCCGUUAAGUCGAGUUCGUAAGCAGGUGCAAAGGUGCCACAGUGAGUUAAUAGCAAAACAAGUCCGUCAGUUUUAGUUGGAAAGCGAAGCCAAGAAGAUGGGAAAAUUCGAAUACUCACUGGGUCUCAAUGAGCUCAAAUCCAAGGAGCUGCGAUUGUGGCAGGCCCUGAUUGGAGAGUUCCUGGGCAAUCUGAUCCUCAAUUUCUUUGCCUGCGGCGCAUGCACCCAAAUUGAGGAUGGCACCUUCAAAGCCUUGGCUUUUGGCCUGGCCAUCUUUAUGGCCAUCACGAUUGUGGGUCACUUGAGUGGUGGUCAUGUGAAUCCUGCCGUUACCGCUGGAAUGUUGGUCGCAGGACGAAUUAGCUUGAUCAGAGCCUUUUUCUAUGUGGUUUUCCAGUGCCUGGGUGCCAUUGCCGGAACUGCAGCGGUUAAGAUUCUCAUCGAUCAGGACUAUUAUAAUGGCCUAGGUCACACCUCGCUGGCGCCCAAUAUCACCGAGCUGCAGGGCCUGGGAAUCGAGUUCUUCCUGGGACUCCUGCUGGUGCUCGUCGUCUUUGGGGCCUGUGAUCCCCACAAGCCCGAUUCCCGCUAUACGGCGCCCCUGGCCAUCGGAAUGGCGGUGACCCUGGGUCACUUGGGCACCAUUCGGUACACCGGGGCCAGCAUGAAUCCCGCCCGCACUGUGGGCACCGCCUUUGCCACCGACAUCUGGGCGUCGCAUUGGGUAUACUGGGUGGGUCCUGUGCUGGGGGGCGUGGCUGCCGCCCUGCUCUACACCCAGGUCCUGGAGGCGAAGCCCGUGCCGAAGGUGAACGAGGCAUCCGAGAAGUACCGAACGCACGCCGAUGAACGCGAGCAGCAGAUAUUCGUAUACUAAGCUAUUACGACCUGCACGCAAAACUAAUCUAAACCGCUUUUGUGAACCGAAUACCAUUGGUUUAGAAACUCUUCAAUCCUAUCAACCGAACCCGUCCGCCAUUUCGAUCGAUGCGCAAACUGGAGGGAGCCCGCGACUACGCCUAGAUAUAAGGAAACCUAUGCGACUCGAAUCUAGGGAUACAGAUGAGAUCUGUGUGUUUAAUCCAUUCAUUUCAGUGUCUAACAUACCCAUGUCGUGUUCUUCUGCGUUCGUGUGUAUUUAUGUAUUUAUUCAUGCAAAGUUCAUUUUUAACUAACUAAUAUUUAAU